GCUGAAUCAUAGAAACUUGUUGUCCAGGAAUCUAACAGAAUUGUGGGACCAUUCUAAACAGAAGCAACAAUGAUAGAAAAGUCACAGGGACAAAGGCCUUGAUGCAUUAGGGUAAGAUAAAGAAUUAUUCACAGCUACAACAUACACUAGGAAGGAUUUAGCAAGAAAUAUGGCUAGACAGGUAAAUAGCAAAUUAUGCCUCAUUUGUCAUAUUAUUUAUCUCUAUUCUCUUCUGUUAGGAUACCAUUAAGGUUUUUUGGUAGGGGGGUAGUAUGAUCAGACUUGGAUUUUAACAGACAUCACCCAAAUAAGUGUACGGAAUCUGAACCGAAAUGGUGUAAGAAGUGAAAAAAGAGGGGUGCCUGGGUGGCUCAGUCAAAUGUCUGCCUUUGGCUGAGGUCAUGAUCCCAGAAUCCUGGGAUCAGGCCUGGCAUCCGGCUCCCCUCUUAGUAGAGAGUCUGCUUCUCCCUUUGCCCCUCCCCCCACUCUGUGCUCUCUCUUUGCCUAAUAAAUAUUUUUAAAAAGUGAGAAAUGAUAGGAAAUUAUUGAAUUAGGAUUUCUGUAUAAAAAUCCUGAACUAAGAAAGUAAUGGUAGCAAGGACAGCUGAGAAAUGUUAAGAAUAGUCUGUUCUAAAGACUUGGUGACUGAUUAUGUGGGAAGUAAACAAAAUUAUAUGAUGUCUGCACAUUUCGUGGAAGAUAGUGGUAUUCUUUACCAUGAUAGAAAAAAACUGAAAAAUGAACACAUCUGUUGUAGGAAAAGAUUAUGGAGGAAGCACAUGUAGAGGUGAGCCAGCUUGAGCCAGACGAUGAGAACAAUAACAUAGGAAAAGGGGCCUAUUCCCUAAAUGGCCUUAUGGGAUGGAACCACCCUACCAAUCUUAAUACUCUUGGCACUAGACUAUUUGAGAGAACAAUUUAUAUUGUUAGAAUGCACAUAAUUACCCCAAAUAAUCGACUGUCAGUGCAGUCCCUAUCAAAAUUCCAAUGGCAUUCUCACAGAUACAGAAGAAAAAAUUCCCAACUUCGUAUGUGGAACCACAGAAGAUUCCAAAUAGCCAAAGCAGUCUUGAGAAAGAAAAACAAAUUUGGUGGCAUCAUACUUCAUAAUUUCAAAACCUAAAGCUUAUAGUAAUCAAAACAGUAAUGUGUUAGCAUAAAAACAGACACACACAGGAAAUAAAUGGGAUAGCAGAGAGCACCCAGAAAUAAACCCACAUGUAUAUGGUCAACUAGUUUCCUAUACAGGAACCAAGAACAUACAGUCAGAAAACGGCAGUCUCUUCAAUAAAUGGUGUUGGGAAAACUGGACAGCUGUCUUACACCUUACAUAAAAAUCAACUAAAAAUGGAUUAAAGACUUAAACAUAAAACUUGAAAACUGUAAUAUUCCUAGAAGAAAACGUAGGGGUUAAACUCCUUAACAUCUGUGUUGGCUCUUUUUUUUUUAAUUUGACACCAAAAGCAAAGGCAA